AACGAACGCUGGCGGCAUGCCUAACACAUGCAAGUCGAACGAGACCUUCGGGUCUAGUGGCGCACGGGUGCGUAACGCGUGGGAAUCUGCCCCUCGGUUCGGAAUAACAGUGAGAAAUUGCUGCUAAUACCGGAUAAUGACUUCGGUCCAAAGAUUUAUUGCCGAGGGAUGAGCCCGCGUAGGAUUAGCUAGUUGGUGGGUAAUGGCCUACCAAGGCGACGAUCCUUAGCUGGUCUGAGAGGAUGAUCAGCCACACUGGGACUGAGACACGGCCCAGACUCCUACGGGAGGCAGCAGUGGGGAAUAUUGGACAAUGGGCGAAAGCCUGAUCCAGCAAUGCCGCGUGAGUGAUGAAGGCCUUAGGGUUGUAAAGCUCUUUUACCCGGGAUGAUAAUGACAGUACCGGGAGAAUAAGCUCCGGCUAACUCCGUG
rnacentral:rRNA from 1 species